GCUCUCUCCUCUUCUCGUCCAAUGUAUAACUUCCCCAUCUAAAUAAUUCUCUCUUUCCCCAGAAAACACCACCGACUCAGUCAUGGCACAGACACCGAUUCAGCUAACCACCUUCUUCUCCUUCUUCAUCUUCUUGUCUUCCUUUCAACUCGAUCCCACAACCGUGCACGGCCUCUCGACCAAUUCAACCACCACCGUCCUUCUAGAUGGGGCCCGACCUGCCAUGGUAUUGCCGCUCUUUCUCUCUCCUCCAAAUUCUUCCAAAUCACCGUCGAAUCUGCAUCGCC
rnacentral:misc_RNA from 1 species